rnacentral:rRNA from 1 species
AACGAACGCUGGCGGCAUGCCUAACACAUGCAAGUCGAACGAGACCUUCGGGUCUAGUGGCGCACGGGUGCGUAACGCGUGGGAACCUGCCCUUAGGUUCGGAAUAACUCCCCGAAAGGGGUGCUAAUACCGGAUAAUGUCUUCGGACCAAAGAUUUAUCGCCUUUGGAUGGGCCCGCGUUGGAUUAGCUAGUUGGUAGGGUAAAAGCCUACCAAGGCGACGAUCCAUAGCUGGUCUGAGAGGAUGAUCAGCCACACUGGGACUGAGACACGGCCCAGACUCCUACGGGAGGCAGCAGUGGGGAAUAUUGGACAAUGGGCGAUAGCCUGAUCCAGCAAUGCCGCGUGAGUGAUGAAGGCCUUAGGGUUGUAAAGCUCUUUUACCCGGGAUGAUAAUGACAGUACCUGGAGAAUAAGCGCCGGCUAACUCCGUG